rnacentral:misc_RNA from 1 species
ACGCUCCUCGUUGAGCCUCUGCCUUUCAGUUCUCUUGGAACAAGACGGAAGAGAGUCACUCUUACCGUCGUGCAUACCUUAAGCGGGUCUGCCGCCUUCGUUUCUCUUUCUUCGCGAAUGACUAACCUCCCUUUGGCUAUGCCCACAAGGCGUGCCUUGCCGGUGCAAAUGGUGCCAGCAGGGUUCGGUUUAGGGCUUGUAGCUCAGUUGGUUAGAGCGCGCGCUUGAUAAGCGUGAGGUCGGAGGUUCAAGUCCUCCCAGGCCCACCAUUUCCUCGACAAAAGGUAUCAGGGGCCGUAGCUCAGCUGGGAGAGCGCCUGCUUUGCAAGCAGGAUGUCGUCGGUUCGAUCCCGUCCGGCUCCACCAUCUUUCUUCUCUUGAGAGGAAAGGGUGUCGAGUAGAGAUGAGCGCCGAUCGGUCAGUCAUUCGUAUAAAGGUUUGCGGCGAGCUUCUUGGCUCUCCGCCUGUUCUGUAUGACAUCGUAAAGAGAAGAUUUGUUCGAACUUCAUGGUCCGCAAGGUUCAUGAUUUGUCGCGGGAGACGCUCAAUCUCCCGCAUAUGAUGGGUUUGCCUAACCGCGCCCUCGAACCGAUCUCGAGAAGCUGGUCUUUUUGUGCCAAUUCCAUUGAAUCCAGGUUCUGCACAGGAUCUGGUUCGGGCGACAAUCCUUCGGGAUUGCGCGAUGGGCAUUGGCAAUGAGAACGAUCAAGUGUCUUAAGGGCAAUUGGUGGAUGCCUUGGCAUGCACAGGCGAUGAAGGACGUGAUACGCUGCGAUAAGCUACGGGGAGGUGCGAAUACCCUUUGAUCCGUAGAUUUCCA